AGAUCUCGACACAACACCGGCCUCAAGCAACCCAGGCUUUGGACGGCGCCCCCGAGGAUGACACCACCGUGGAAAUGGAAAUGGGUGAAAACACUGUCUCUGGUUGUACUGAGUUGGCUUCGACACCUCUGAUGGAAGACCACGAUUACACAGCCAGCUCUUUCAUCGUGGUCGACCGUGAGAAAUUUGAGAGCAUGUCGAGGCAGAUCGAGGAGCUCACACGGCAGAUCGAAACACUGCACAUGGAGAGAUUUGGAUUGCAACGGUUUUCUACAUCACCUAGUGACAUUCGCUACUAUUCCAGAUUUCCAUCAUAUGAACAUUUGAUGGCCUUUUGGGAUCUAAUUCAAGAGGCAACCAGCAGAAUGGUGAGAGUCACCAGUGGUCAGAAGAACCUCUCCACCAGUACAUCCACUGAGACCCCUAUGAACAGACCAACAAAACUGCUGCCAAUUGACGAGCUCUUCCUCUUCCUCAACUACCUGUCAACCGGCUGUACACAAAGGGAGCUUGGUCACAAGUUCAAUAUCCACAGAGCAACAGCAAGCAGAAUAAUUGUGACGUGGUCCAACUUUUUGUAUACUUUGCUUGGAUCGCGUUAGCAUGACGUGUCACUGCCUGUUACGAACCCCUGCUCGUUAAAGAGGUGCAACAAAAAGGAGGGAGACAACUGAUAAAAUGUUUGAAUACGUUAUCAUUUAUUGAUAAAUCAAGGGAUAGGGGGGAAUUAAAUAAAGAGAAAGGAGAUUGCCCUUCAAUAAACAAAGCAUUCAAAUGAA